rnacentral:rRNA from 1 species
ACCGAGUUUACAACUCCCAAACCCCUGUGAACAUACCUUACUGUUGCCUCGGCGGAUCAGCCCGCUCCCGGUAAAACGGGACGGCCCGCCAGAGGACCCCUAAACUCUGUUUCUAUAUGUAACUUCUGAGUAAAACCAUAAAUAAAUCAAAACUUUCAACAACGGAUCUCUUGGCUCUCGCAUCGAUGAAGAACGCAGCGAAAUGCGAUAAGUAAUGUGAAUUGCAGAAUUCAGUGAAUCAUCGAAUCUUUGAACGCACCUUGCACCCUUUGGUAUCCCGAAGGGUACACCCGUUUGAGUGUCAUUGUAAUCUCACCUCUUCGACUUUUUGUUGAGUCGACCAGUGUGGACUUGGAUGUUGCCGUGUGACAAACGGCUCGUCUGAAAUGCCUGAGUGUACCCUGCUUUGCGGCGUAUUUGGUGUGAUAAAAUCUUCACCGGAGUCUUGACCCUUGUGGUCAGCGCUUGCAUGGUUUGGCUCUAUGCUUUCCAACUGUCCCUAACAAGGACAAACUACUCUGACAAUUUGACCUCAAAUCGGGUGGGACUACCCGCUGAACUUAA